ensembl:snoRNA small nucleolar RNA, C/D box 35A
GGCAGAUGAUGGCUCUUUCUCACGAUGGUCUGCGGAUGCCACUGUGGGCGGUGCCGAUAAUGCCUAUGGCUCAGCUGAUGCCAGCAG